rnacentral:tRNA from 1 species
GGGUAGGUGGCGGAGUAGCAAUCGCACCAGACUGUAAAUCUGGCGUCCGAAAGGACUUCGGGGGUGCAAGUCCCUCCCUGCCCA